CCUACGGGAGGCAGCAGUCAGGAAUAUUGCGCAAUGGAGGAGACUCUGACGCAGUGACGCCGCGUGAAGGAAGAAGGUUCUCUGAUUUUAAACUGCUUUAGACAGGGAAGAAACAAGACAGUACCUGUAACAUAAGCUCCGGCUAACUACGUACCAGCAGCCGCGGUACUACGUAGGGAGCAGGCUUUAUCCGGAUUUAGUGGGGGUAAAGGGUGCGUAGACGGGAAGUCAAGUUGGUUGUGAAAUCCCUCGGCUUAAAUGAGGAAGUGCAACCAAAACUAAUUUUCUUGAGUGCGGGAGAGGAAAGUGGAAUUCCUAGUGUAGCGGUGAAAUGCGUAGAUAUUAGGAGGAACACCAGUGGCGAAGGCGACUUUCUGGACAGUAACUGACGUUGAGGCACGAAAGUGUGGGGAGCAAACAGGAUUAGAUACCCGGGUAGUC
rnacentral:rRNA from 1 species